rnacentral:rRNA from 1 species
UAGAGUUUGAUCAUGGCUCAGAUUGAACGCUGGCGGCAGGCCUAACACAUGCAAGUCGAGCGGUAGCACAGAGAGCUUGCUCUCGGGUGACGAGCGGCGGACGGGUGAGUAAUGUCUGGGAAACCGCCUGAUGGAGGGGGAUAACUACUGGAAACGGUAGCUAAUACCGCAUAACGUCGCAAGACCAAAGUGGGGGACCUUCGGGCCUCAUGCCAUCAGAUGUGCCCAGAUGGGAUUAGCUAGUAGGUGGGGUAAUGGCUCACCUAGGCGACGAUCCCUAGCUGGUCUGAGAGGAUGACCAGCCACACUGGAACUGAGACACGGUCCAGACUCCUACGGGAGGCAGCAGUGGGGAAUAUUGCACAAUGGGCGCAAGCCUGAUGCAGCCAUGCCGCGUGUAUGAAGAAGGCCUUCGGGUUGUAAAGUACUUUCAGCGAGGAGGAAGGCGUUAAGGUUAAUAACCUUGGCGAUUGACGUUACUCGCAGAAGAAGCACCGGCUAACUCCGUGCCAGCCGCCGCGGUAAUUCA